UACAGGAGGGUGCAAGCGUUAAUCGGAAUUACUGGGCGUAAAGCGUGCGCAGGCGGUUCGUUGUGUCGGCGGUGAAAGCCCCGGGCUCAACCUGGGAAUGGCCGUUGAAACUGGCGAACUGGAGUGUGGCAGAGGGGGGUGGAAUUCCGCGUGUAGCAGUGAAAUGCGUAGAGAUGCGGAGGAACACCGAUGGCGAAGGCAGCCCCCUGGGCUAACACUGACGCUCAGGCACGAAAGCGUGGGGAGCAAACAGG
rnacentral:rRNA from 1 species